rnacentral:rRNA from 1 species
AUACGUAGGGUGCGAGCGUUGUCCGGAAUUACUGGGCGUAAAGAGCUCGUAGGUGGUUUGUCGCGUCGUCUGUGAAAUUCCGGGGCUUAACUCCGGGCGUGCAGGCGAUACGGGCAUAACUUGAGUACUGGAGGGGAGACUGGAAUUCCUGGUGUAGCGGUGAAUUGCGCAGAUAUCAGGAGGAACACCGGUGGCGAAGGCGGGUCUCUGGGCAGUAACUGACGCUGAGGAGCGAAAGCAUGGGUAGCGAACAGGAUUAGAUACCCUGGUAGUCCAUGCCGUAAACGGUGGGCGCUAGGUGUAGGGGUCUUCCACGACUUCUGUGCCGUAGCUAACGCAUUAAGCGCCCCGCCUGGGGAGUACGGCCGCAAGGCUAAAACUCAAAUGAAUUGACGGGG